rnacentral:lncRNA from 1 species
AGUCAGAAAUUGGAUCGCCCCGCUCUUGACACUUCUGUUAUAGACAGCCCAUCUACGCCUUUGUUUUCCUCCUCCUCUGACAGCAACAUCAGCUCUCCAACACCCUUCAAUUCUCCAAAACCUAAACACAAAGAUUGUUCUGGCGCCACUAAAAAGCUUCGGCUCAUUAGUCCAGAGUAUGUCAUAUACACUGACACAGAACUAGAACUAGCAAGAAGUGCUUACUUUGAAAAGCAGCGUGCUGGACAAGACGAAGACUACACCAUGCCAAAAGACUUGCGCUGUAGACUCAUUAGGAAUACAGUAACAGGCAUGAUUGCUAUGAAAAGAGCGUCCGAGGAUGAUUUUAAGUACCCAGGCUCCCAUGAACUGACUGCCAUGGCUAAGCGUCUAGUAGAAUACUACCCAAUGCUGUGAGACAAGUCUACGUCCAAUACACCUGAAUGGGAAAUGGUGAAGAAGCAGUUGUUGAAAAGGGUUCAGAAUGUGACAACUCCAAAAAAGAAGCAAGGUCCAACCCCAUCAAGAAAAGGACCUAGAAGCCUAAAAUUCCAGAGCAUCCAGGCGACGUGCACUGAAGAGAGUGAUGAACCUUUCUCCUCCCCUGCUUCAGUCUCUUCAGCUGCUUCAUCAGUCGCCUCGUCGUCUUCCUCCACUGUGAUCCUAGAGAAGUCAACUCCUUCUACAAGUACUUCCCAAGAGGUGGAUCUCUUUAGUGCUAUAGAGAGCCCACAGAGCCAAGCGAGACACUAUAAAACUCUGCAGGAUUUGUACAAAACUAAGAACAAACCCAACAAGGAAGAUGUAUCCCAGCUGCUGGAAUUGGAGUUCCAAUCUAGACGAGCUUUCAUUGACUCUGAUGUGAUGAAGGAACAGGACAGGCCUAUGAAGAUACUGCAGGCUUAUCCAUGUUUUAAAGAACUUGGCCAUGGAAGUAUUUUUUUCUCACUUAACUUGUAUAUUUCACUUGAACGAAGGCCUCUUAAUUUAAAUCUCUACUGUUAGAUCAUCGAUGAACUCCAGCGAAUCCUUGAUAAAGGAAACCCCUUCUUCACAAUGGAGCUGAAGAAACGUUGGCUGAGAUGUUUUAACCAGGCACAGUUUUAUGGGGUGUUCAAAAAAAUCAUAGGACCAC